rnacentral:lncRNA from 1 species
AUGUCUAACCUCAAAUCGGCUUUUGGGAAAACACAGGCGGAAAAAGGGAAGCCAGCCACGGAACCGGGAAAGGGUCCAAACAAAGAGGAAGAGGGCGCUCCUGAAAAGCCCAGGGGUCCGUUUAGACGGCGUUUUAAGAGAAGGCCGGCUGAGGAAAAAGGGUUGAAAAAAGGAAUGAUCAGAUCACCGUCUGCAGAAAGAGAACUGGACUUUAUAAGAAACUUCCUCUUCCCUGCAGACGCUGAAUCUUCAGACUCUGAUUGGGACUCUACAGACUCGGACCCUGGUUUAGACUCUGAUUUUGAAGAUGAUCCAGACCAAGAACUUCCUCCAAUCACAAAAGCUCAAGAAUUUGCAGAAAAAAUUAGAUCUUGGGCCGCAAAAGUAAAAUCCUGCUUUACAAAGACGGACCCACCGUCAGAAGAGGCAACAACUACCAGCAGCUCAGAGAGUACAGGAAGCUCCAGUUCCUGCGGUCUGGGAAUAAGACCACGGUUCGUAGACACCGACUCCAUCUAUCUAUCCUCAUCUCCACCCUUGUAUUUCCGGGAGAUCGCCAACGAACAGGAUGACCCGAACGAUGCGACAAGGUCACCUGAAAUGGAACCCCAGUCUAGGGCAGAAAGGUUCCGGUCGUGGUUUCAUCAAAUAAGACACAAAGUUAGAGAACCAGAAACCUCGUCAGACAGUGGGAACAUGAACGUCCCCAUAGAGGACUUGGAGGUGUCGCUACGCCAACUGGUUGCUACGAUCUUCUCCAAGCCGAGCAAAUGCACGGAGAACUUCGAUUCGGAAAGCUUUUGUGAGGAGCUUUUGCGAAAAAUCCUGUCGAGGGUUUCCGCUGGAAAGAUUCGGGUGGACUGGGAAGACAUCAGGACGGAGCUCCACACGCGUGUUCACAGGGAGCUGCUCAAACACUGGGAGUCGCCGGAGUUUGUGCAGCUCUUCACCUUCUUGAGGUCCGGAGUGGCCACCGAGAUCAUCGCCGCCGUGUACGCUCAGCAGCUGACCCGGAGGACGUUUGGCGGGACCGUCAAAAGGCUCUUCAGGUGCUGCCGUGUGCGGAGAGCAUCGGGGGCGGGGGAUUGUCCUGAACAAGGGUGGCUAGAGUUUUAG